rnacentral:rRNA from 1 species
AUUGAACGCUGGCGGCAGGCCUAACACAUGCAAGUCGAACGGUAACAGGAAACAGCUUGCUGUUUCGCUGACGAGUGGCGGACGGGUGAGUAAUGUCUGGGAAACUGCCUGAUGGAGGGGGAUAACUACUGGAAACGGUAGCUAAUACCGCAUAACGUCGCAAGACCAAAGAGGGGGACCUUCGGGCCUCUUGCCAUCGGAUGUGCCCAGAUGGGAUUAGCUAGUAGGUGGGGUAACGGCUCACCUAGGCGACGAUCCCUAGCUGGUCUGAGAGGAUGACAAGCCACACUGGAAAUGAGACACGGUCCAGACUCCUACGGGAGGCAGCAGUGGGGAAUAUUGCACAAUGGGCGCAAGCCUGAUGCAGCCAUGCCGCGUGUAUGAAGAAGGCCUUCGGGUUGUAAAGUACUUUCAGCGGGGAGGAAGGGAGUAAAGUUAAUACCUUUGCUCAUUGACGUUACCCGCAGAAGAAGCACCGGCUAACUCCGUGCCAGCAGCCGCCGUAA